rnacentral:rRNA from 1 species
CCCUUAGAUGUUCUGGGCCGCACGCGCGCUACACUGACGAAUGCAACGAGCUUAUAACCUUGGCCGAAAGGUCUGGGUAAUCUCCAAAUUUCGUCGUGAUGGGGAUAGAUUAUUGCAAUUAUUAAUCUUCAACGAGGAAUGCCUAGUAAGCGCAAGUCAUCAGCUUGCGUUGAUUACGUCCCUGCCCUUUGUACACACCGCCCGUCGCUCCUACCGAUUGAAUGGUCCGGUGAAGCGCUCGGACCACGGCCUCUUGACGGUUCGCUGUCGAUUGGCUGUGGGAAGUUCGUUAAACCUUAUCAUUUAGAGGAAGGAGAAGUCGUAACA